UGGAAACUAACUGGUAUUAGGAUACUAGCUAGGGCUAUAAAUACCGUACUGGUUUCAAAAAGGCAAACCAAAAGCAUAACCAGAAAGAAAGUAAAAGCUAGCUAGCAUCAAUAUGUCUUCUAAGAAUCCCGACGUCACUAAAGCAAUUUGGCCUAGCAAUGGUCCUCCGCCACAGCCGCCUUCUCAGAAAGGUUCCUCGUUUCCAAAUCUUCAGGGGUGUCUCGGAAAAGGUGGGAAAAAGAAAGGGAACAAGUGAAGAAUUAUGCAGCAGGUUCUAAAUAUAAUGUUUAUAUAUUGUUGGGCAAAUAAUGGGGCAUUUGCAAAUAUGCUUGCUCGUUUUGCAGAUGUAUAAAUGCAGAAGUUGUUUUCAUUCAAAUUUCCUUCAUUAAUUCAGUUACCAUUAUUGUAUUGUGAAACACAGUAUAGAUCCCAGCUAUGUGUAAAAGAAACACAGUAUAUGUAUUAUUUGAUUCUGUUCCAC
rnacentral:lncRNA from 1 species